rnacentral:rRNA from 1 species
GAUGAACGCUGGCGGCGUGCUUAACACAUGCAAGUCGAACGGUGAACGAGGGAGCUUGCUCCCUCCGGAUCAGUGGCGAACGGGCGAGUAACACGUGAGCAAUCUGCCCCGAACUCUGGGAUAAGCGCUGGAAACGGCGUCUAAUACCGGAUACGACGCGCGAAGGCAUCUUCUGCGCGUGGAAAGACUUUCGGUUCGGGAUGAGCUCGCGGCCUAUCAGCUAGUUGGUGAGGUAACGGCUCACCAAGGCGACGACGGGUAGCCGGCCUGAGAGGGUGACCGGCCACACUGGGACUGAGACACGGCCCAGACUCCUACGGGAGGCAGCAGCGGGGAAUAUUGCACAAUGGGCGCAAGCCUGAUGCAGCAACGCCGCGUGAGGGACGACGGCCUUCGGGUUGUAAACCUCUUUUAGUAGGGAAGAAGCGAAAGUGACGGUACCUGCAGAAAAAGCACCGGCUAACUACGUGCCAGCCGCCGCUGUAAUAC